AUGAUGUUCGUACUGUUAUAUUUGUAGUAUCUCUAAGUGGCUAUGAUAUGACGUUAUUGGAAGAUCCUUCGGUGAAUAGAUUGGAAGAGAGUCUAAAUUUGUUUGGACAAAUUGUUAAUAAUCCUUUUUUUAGGGAUGCCUCUUUUAUACUGCUUAUGAAUAAAUUUGAUCUAUUUAGGGAAAAAAUUUUGUAUUCCAACCGACACCUGCGACUUUAUUUUUCAGAUUAUAACGAAAUUGCACUUUAAGGUCCUGAUAGGGAUGUGGAUAGAGGAGCACUGUUUAUACAACAUAAAUUUGUUUUAAGAAAUGGAAAUUCUAGAAAAGUACUUUUUCCACAUUUUACAACUGCUACUGACACUGCCAAUGUUCAGGUUGUCUUUCAGUCAAUCAUGGAAAUAGUGAUUUCAGAAAAUCUCGGUCAGGUAACUCUCCUUUAGAAUUAUAAAUGUGUACAUAAUGUACAUAUUCUAAGCUUUAAUAAUUUUAUUUUUAUACGCUUUUUGAUUGACUUUGGAAUUAAUUUAGAGUAGUUUGGUAUAAAAAAGACUCUAUGAUCUCAUUACAUGCCAUUUCUGUAGUUUUUGAUUUUUGGAUAUGCUGCAACCUGUGUAUAAUUUACAAGGUGUUUCUUUGCAAACAGUUUAACAAUUAGAGCCCAGAAUUUUGUAACUAUUGUUUUUAAGUAGUUUUUUGUGUUUAAUAUAUCGUUUUUUUUUA